CCCAAAGGCUUCUUUGUGCACAGAUGAAUUUUCAAGCAGCAGCUGGAAUAGCUGAGGCAAAACCUGGAGCUACCUUGGAGCCUGGCCUUGGUUUCAGGGAAGCCAGAUGGAUCUGUCCAUAUCUGAGCCAUACUGAUUCUUCUUUCCUUGACGGGAGAUGGAUUCCCUGCUCUCUGUAUCCUGCAGAGAAAAGAUUUUGCUGCACAAGGUCUUCCCCGAGGGAGAGGAUGAGCGCGUAAGUUAUGGGACAGAUGUUAGUCACGCAGCUCAUUAGCCAUGGGAUGGUGGUGUUCAAAUACUCAUGUGGUAAGUGUGGCAGGACUAAAUGGAAGUGAGAAAUGCAUUUGGAAGUGCCUGUUUCUUAUAACCACAUCUUCAGAGGAGGUGAGCACACAAAGCCUCCUUUAUUUCACUUGGGACAAAAGUCUUCAUUUCCAUUUCUCACCUGGAAAAUAUGGGGCUAACUACUUCAAGAGAUGCAUCCUCCCCCAGAGCGUUUGCUCCAACCAGAUUGCCUCUGGGCUUUCCAAAAUCUCAAAGAACAGCAGUAUCUUUUGACCGAUACAAUUUUUAUCCUCCUGCUCUGUUUCCCAACAAAUCCAGUUGAUGAACUAAACCCCAUUUCACUGUAUUUAAAUUG
ensembl:lncRNA